GAUGAACGCUGGCGGCGUGCCUAAUACAUGCAAGUCGAGCGAACGGACGAGAAGCUUGCUCCUCUGAUGUUAGCGGCGGACGGGUGAGUAACACGUGGAUAACCUACCUAUAAGACUGGGAUAACUUCGGGAAACCGGAGCUAAUACCGGAUAAUAUUUUGAACCGCAUGGUUCAAAAGUGAAAGACGGUUUUGCUGUCACUUAUAGAUGGAUCCGCGCUGCAUUAGCUAGUUGGUAAGGUAACGGCUUACCAAGGCAACGAUGCGUAGCCGACCUGAGAGGGUGAUCGGCCACACUGGAACUGAGACACGGUCCAGACUCCUACGGGAGGCAGCAGUAGGGAAUCUUCCGCAAUGGGCGAAAGCCUGACGGAGCAACGCCGCGUGAGUGAUGAAGGUCUUCGGAUCGUAAAACUCUGUUAUUAGGGAAGAACAAAUGUGUAAGUAACUGUGCACAUCUUGACGGUACCUAAUCAGAAAGCCACGGCUAACUACGUG
rnacentral:rRNA from 1 species